UCUCUCAGCUCUCUGUACUAUGUAGUCAUCACUUCUCUAUUUCUUCACUUUUACUCUCAUCUAAAAGAAACCGCUUAAUCGCAUGAUGAUUUGUUAAGAUUUUCUUCCCAGUUCUCUAAUCCACACAAAUUAAUCAAAAUAAAUUCACAUUAUUGACAGCUCAAAAAUGGCGUUUGCAUCUAAUUUUAACCUCUUUUUUUAAUUUCAUUUUAUUGUUUUGUUUUGAUAUUUUCAGGUUUGAUUUUGUCAUCCAUAGCAAUUUAUUUCCAGAUCUUCAAGCGCAUGUUGCGACUAGAGUACACUUAUGACUAAGAAACAACGAUAACUGUCUCACAGGAGGACUAUGGAGCUGAGAAGGAGGACGAGAGAAAGCUAAUUGAAUAUAAGGCUCAAGGUGAACAAACAAUUGUGGCAAGGAGAAGACAAUGAGUCCCACAGAGUGAGAAAACAUAGUCAUGAGGGUGAAGAUUAAAGCGCUGCAACUUUGUUAAUGUCUUGCGAGGAGGUAGUUGUUAUUCUUGGUUCAAUACUGAAUGAGUGUCAAUUUAUCAGUGUCAAGAGGCAUGGUGAACGAUAGAGAAAUUAGUAGAUCUAGUUCUAUAUUUAUGAAUUUCUAGGAUAGGUGUUGUUUUGUGAUGAAGAGGUGUAAAGGGAAUCUAUUUACAGAGUGAUGUUGAAAGAAUGUAUUAAUUGUUGGGAUGUAACUCUCGAAUUUAUCUACAUAUUCCUCUAAUUUGUAUAUAAACAACAUUUGACAAGAAAAUGGCUUGGAACAUUAUUUACUUAUUUAUU